rnacentral:rRNA from 1 species
CUACGGGGUGCACCAGUGAGGAAUAUUGCACAAUGGGGGUAACCCUGAUGCAGCAACGCCGCGUGGAGGAUGACGCAUUUCGGUGUGUAAACUCCUUUUAUAUGUCAAGAAAAUGACGGUAGCAUAUGAGUAAGCACCGGCUAACUCCGUGCCAGCAGCCGCGGUAAUACGGAGGGUGCAAGCGUUAUUCGGAAUCACUGGGCGUAAAGGACGCGUAGGCGGGUUAUCAAGUCAGGUGUGAAAUCCUACAGCUUAACUGUAGAACUGCACUUGAAACUGGUAGCCUAGAGUAUGGGAGGGGCAGAUGGAAUUAGUGGUGUAGGGGUAAAAUCCGUAGAUAUCACUAGGAAUACCGAAAGCGAAGGCGAUCUGCUGGAACAUUACUGACGCUAAGGCGUGAAAGCGUGGGGAGCAAACAGGAUUAGAUACCCGAGUAGUC